GCUGCAGCCAUGCCGCGUGUGUGAAGAAGGCCUUCGGGUUGUAAAGCACUUUCAGCAGUGAGGAAGGUCGUGUACUUAAUACGUGCACGGYUUGACGUUAGCUGCAGAAGAAGCACCGGCUAACUCCGUGCCAGCAGCCGCGGUAAUACGGAGGGUGCGAGCGUUAAUCGGAAUUACUGGGCGUAAAGCGCAUGCAGGCGGUUUGUUAAGUCAGAUGUGAAAGCCCGGGGCUCAACCUCGGAACCGCAUUUGAAACUGGCAGGCUAGAGUCUUGUAGAGGGGGGUAGAAUUUCAGGUGUAGCGGUGAAAUGCGUAGAGAUCUGAAGGAAUACCAGUGGCGAAGGCGGCCCCCUGGACAAAGACUGACGCUCAGAUGCGAAAGCGUGGGUAGCAAACAGGAUUAGAUACCCUGGUAGUCCACGCCGUAAACGCUGUCUACUUGGAGGUUGAGGUUUUAGACUUUGGCUUUCGGCGCUAACGCAUUAAGUAGACCGCCUGGGGAGUACGGCCGCAAGGUUAAAACUCAAAUGAAUUGACGGGGGCCCGCACAAGCGGUGGAGCAUGUGGUUUAAUUCGAUGCAACGCGAAGAACCUUACCUACUCUUGACAUCCAGCGAAGCCUUUAGAGAUAGAGGCGUGCCUUCGGGAGCGCUGAGACAGGUGCUGCAUGGCUGUCGUCAGCUCGUGUUGUGAAAUGUUGGGUUAAGUCCCGCAACGAGCGCAACCCUUAUCCUUGUUUGCCAGCACRUAAUGGUGGGAACUCCAGGGAGACUGCCGGUGAUAAACCGGAGGAAGGUGGGGACGACGUCAAGUCAUCAUGGCCCUUACGAGUAGGGCUACACACGUGCUACAAUGRCAGAUACAGAGGGCRGCGAGACAGCGAUGUUUAGCGAAUCCCUUAAAGUUUGUCGUAGUCCGGAUUGGAGUCUGCAACUCGACUCCAUGAAGUCGGAAUCGCUAGUAAUCGUGGAUCAGAAUGCCACGGUGAAUACGUUCCCGGGCCUUGUACACACCGCCCGUCACACCAUGGGAGUGGGCUGCACCAGAAGUAGAUAGCUUAACCUUCGGGAGGGCGUUUACCACGGUGUGGUUCAUGACUGGGGUGAAGUCGUAACAAGGUAGCCCUAGGGGAACCUGGGGCUGGAUCACCUCCUU
rnacentral:rRNA from 1 species